rnacentral:rRNA from 1 species
AGCGCACCCUUGUUCUUAGUUGCCAUCAUUUAAUUGGGGACUCUCUGGAGACUGCGCGUGAUAAACCGGAGGAAAGUGGGGAUAACAUCUCGUCUCCUUGCCCCUUACAUCCUGGGCUACACACGUACUACAAUGGGUGGGACAAAGGGCAGCGAACUCCCAAGAGCCAGCUAAUCUCAUAAACCCCUCCUCAGUUCAGAUUGCUCUCUGCAACUCUAGAGCAUGAAAGAGGAAUCGCUAGUAAUCUCAGGUCACCAUACUGCGGUGAAUAUGUUCCCCGGGCUUGUGAC